rnacentral:rRNA from 1 species
CUACGGGACGCUCCAGUGGGGAAUAUUGGGCAAUGGGCGCAAGCCUGACCCAGCAACGCCGCGUGAGGGAAGAAGGUUUUCGGAUUGUAAACCUCUGUCCCCCCUGACGAAACAAAUGACGGUAAGGGGGGAGGAAGCUCCGGCUAACUACGUGCCAGCAGCCGCGGUAAUACGUAGGGAGGAGCGUUGUCCGGAAUUACUGGGCGUAAAGGGUGCGUAGGCGGCAUAUUAAGUCAGGUGGGAAAUUUUCGGGCUCAACCCGGAACCUGCAUUUGAAACUGAUAAGCUUGAGUGUGAGAGAGGUAAGUGGAAUUCCUAGUGUAGCGGUGAAAUGCGUAGAUAUUAGGAGGAACACCAGUGGCGAAGGCGACUUACUGGCUCAUAACUGACGCUGAGGCACGAAAGCGUGGGGAGCAAACAGGAUUAGAUACCCUGGUAGUC